rnacentral:lncRNA from 1 species
UUACUGUAGCCAUAGACUUGAAGACUCAGCUUCUCAAAUCCUAUAGGAUUACUCCUUAUUUACUAAGAUCGAUAGAUCCCAUCUAAGUGUGCAUCCUACUCUUACAAUGAAUCUAUUAUAACCAAUAUACACUACAAAGAUCUAAAUGACUAGGAGACCAUGUUUAUGUGCGGUCAAACUAUAGCAACCCCAUUAUAAGCAGUCGAGAUACCGCAGGUCAAAGAACUACUUACACUACUAC